rnacentral:misc_RNA from 1 species
GCAUCUACCAGCUGAGCCAAAAUCCCCUUGCUAAGUUAAAAUCCAGUUAUGAUUUCUUUCCAAAAGUUGUAGAAAGAGAUAAACUUCCACUGGAAAAGAAAAAGCAAGCCCUGAGCUCUGUUCUGUGAAUAGAAAUCAAAACCUUUACUAAUCGUAUUCAGAGAGAAAAAUUCACAAAGAAGAUGAUUCAGAUCUGAAAACCCAACAACAACAAAUUCACUA